CAAGGGUGGCUGGAGGCUGCCUGAAGUCUGGCUCAGCCCAGGGGAAAGGGAUGAGCAGGGCCUCACCAGGACAUGGAGGGAGGAUCCCCUGUGAUCCAGAGAAGGCCAUAGGGUACUUACCCCCACCUGUGCCAAUCCCCCUGAAAGAUUUUCCCCACGCACAGUAAAAGGAAAGGCUCUCAAAGCAACCCGGGGGACCACAGCAGGGGUGAUGGGAACCCUUUCUAGGGCGGUUGUCUGCUGUCUUCAUAGGCAGGAAGCCACUUCCUGUGGCCCCAACGGUGCCCUGUGAAAAGCCAGGCCCUGGCCCAGCAGCCAAGAGGGCCAGGAUGGGUUCCCCCAGACCCAUUGUCCUAAGAGCAGAUUUGUGUUUUUCAGAGCAACUCUUCACAGCUUCUCCUCUUUCCUAGGUGACAGUGACAGCCAGCGAUGGGCAGGCAGCUUACUCCCAGCCUGGCCUGAGUCUGUGGCCCCAGCGUGAGAUUACUGCAGUGAGUUCUGACCUCAGCAUUGCCAUGGGGAUGCUCGGAUGCCAGGUUGCCAGCAGCAGUACCUUUUCACCCGGGGGAGUGGGAGGGAACCGUGGCUGAUGCUGACUGCCUAUGAUGUGGCCUGCUCUUGCCUGCUGGGGCUGUUUGUCCCCAGACAUAUGUUCCAGAUCUCAGCUAAGUGGGGUGGGCCAGGGGACUCACUCAGGACCUGCGGGCUCUAUUGUGUGUCUGUGUGUUUGGGGUGUGGCGAGAGGUGUUUAUUAGACCUCAUGGGGAGCCUCAUUUUCAUGCCUCCCUGGGCUGACCUGGGCUGCUGAUCACGUGCUCCUAAUGGGCCUCAGAUUGACAUUUGCAGCAACCUGGUCUCCAUAGCAACCAGCUGUGACAUCACAAAGAACCCACAGAGUGGAGGAAGCUUAAAUGCCUGUUUGGGGGAGACAGAGCCUUUGGUCCCUCUCCUUAGGCCCCUCCUGUGAUAGUCGAAGAGGCCUAGGAACGCUGAGAGAGCCAUGGCCUCCGCUUCUCUGGAGCCUGCUUAUCUUGAGAGAGCAUGACAGCCUCAGCAGAAUGGUGUCCAAGACGCAGGGGAGAGAAAGAUUGAUUUGGCCCGGUGGGACGGUCCAGCAAAGCUUCCCAGAGCAGAUGAAGAAACCAAGUUGCCCAAGAUCACACAGCAAGAGGAGGCUCCGGCUCAAGCGCUUACUGCAAGUGCAGCCCUGGGAAAGGAAGUCAGAAGCGCAGGGGACAGAAGGAGCAUGGUUCGAAUCCCGGCUCUGUCCCUCAUCAGCUGGAGACUUGGGAGAGUUACUCGUCUAUAAAAUGGAGAUAAUAACAGUAACUACGUCCACAGGGCUGGUGUGCAGAGGCCAUGAAGCCAUCCACUGCAGGGUGAGAGUGGGGCAAGGACGAGCGGUGGCGAGGUGGGGAGGAGAGACCCUGGUUCAGCCUUGGGGUCCUCUGGGACUGCCGAUCUGCCUCCCGGACUCCGUUCUCCAGGCGGAGGGCUGGACCCUGCCGUGCCGCUGUUAAUUCGCCUCCGGGCCGCUGGCCGGUGAGUGGGAGGAGGAGAGCGCCGGGUGAAGCGGGGUGAGGACUCUCCAGCAAGUGCUCCCUCCAUCUGCCGUCAGCCCAGAGUCCCAGAGCCCCGGAUCGCAGCCUCCCUGCUGGCCGAGCCCCCAACACCCGCGGCGCGCCCCUCAGAGCAAUUACGUAACGAAGCCUCCGGUGCGCCGCGGAGAGGCCGCCUUUGUUAUUGCGAUCCUCCUCGGCAGCGGCCCCGCGAGUAUUAAUAAACCGAUCACUCAAAACGCCAGCCUGGGCUUUAUUUACGUAGAUUUGGGUUGGGGCGCCUCCGAGGGAAUUAUCCCCGCGGCCCGCCCGUCCCCCAGGAGGGAGAGAGGUGGAAUCCCUUCCCUCCCCUCCCCUCUGGUCUUUCACCUUCCCUUCAGCUCAGAGGCCCUCCCCCACCCACCUUGCUGAGCAGCCUGGUCCCAGCAGUGCAAACAAGAAUAUUCCUGAACCAAAAAGUGUGGGUUCCAGGCCCAUCUUCACUUCCCUAGUGGGUGAUAUCUGGCAAAUGGAAACUCAUUAGCCUUACCUGCAAAAUGAGUGGAAUAGCAAAGUGCCCAUUUAAAUGAGAUAAUCUAGGAAUCUGCUUUGCAAAUUCUAAAGCAAUGGUUCUCAAACUUCGGCUUGUCUCAGAAUCACGUGGGGGGCUUUUCGGACCACGAUUGCUGCCCUUGCAACUUCCUUCCCCAGAGUUUCGUUGUCUGAGGUGGAACUGAGAAUUUAGGUUUCUACCAUUUUUCUGCCCCCAAGAAGGCUUUGAGACUUCACACUCUAAAGCUAUUUAUAAACUAGAAUCUAUUUGGCAGAUGUUCCUGUGGGUCUGCGGGUGACACCAUCCCCAAACUUUGUGACUUCAUUGGGGCAGGGGUAGGCCAGGAGCAGCAGGCCUUACAGGGGAUCAGCAAUGCCUGCCCUGGCCAGUGACGCAACCAGAACCAUCUGAGCUCCGGGUCAGACUGCCAGGGUUCGGGUCCCACCUCCCUGCUUUCUAGGGUGUGAUCUUGGGUAAGUUAUGUAACUCAGUGGGCCUCCAUUUUGCCAUCUUUAAAAUGGGGCUGGUAAUGAUACCAACCUCAUGAUGUUUGUUAAGAUAAAUGACACGUAAGGACCUAGACCAGCAUCUGGCACAUAGCACAGGCUCAGAAUACUCUUUCUGAAAUAAUGAUAAAGCCCCCUGGGGUUUUAUCAUUGGGCAGGAGGCAAGUGAAGUGGCAGCCAUUGCCCUAGCCGGCUGCCCAGGAUGCAAUACUAUGAUCCCACGGCACAGACCAGCUGCUCUGGGCACUCAUUGUGAAGGAGUCCUGGGGGUCGCCCAAUAUGAGGGUCCAAAAUCUGCUACCCUCCUUGCAAAGCAAUUCUUUUCCUGGCCAGGGCUCAGCACUCAGAAAAUCUGGACCCAGCCUGAGGUUCUAAUGUCAGCUACGCCCAUAAGGGAUAGUCCAUACCCCAUUGGCCCUGAGCUUUGGAAGCUGUCCUUUCAGUACCAGCACAGAGCAACAGAUGUCCAGGUGUCCCAGGCCUCGGAUACAAGGUCCACAGACACCUCCCCAAUUCUCCCAGCUAGCGGAGGGUGGAUUUCUUGCAGACAGCCACAUGUGCCCAGCUCACCGCCAUUUCCAUGUGUCCAUUCAUUCACUGAGUGAGUGAACAUUUGAGUGCUGACUGUCUGCCAUCCCUGAGCUCAGGUACAUGCACUGUCUCACUUAAUACCCCAGGAACCCUAUGUAUCAUGAUUUUCCUCUUUCCAUUUGACAGAGGAACACGCUGAAGCUCAGAGAUGCUGAGUAACUUGCCUAAGGCCACAGAGCUGGUUAGAAGAGGACUAGGACCUUGAACCUAAAUCCCAGAUGGGUCUUGUUGCUAAAUCCCGCUCUCACCUUCCUCCUUGAGCCCUCCCCCACAGGAAGCAGGAAAGCGCUGGCCAUGGUCUUCUAGUCCCCUAGCUAUCACACUCUUUCUUUGGGGAGAUCUGAGCCUCAUUGCUUCCACCCCCAUCCUGAUCAGUUGUCUCUCCCACAGAUAAGAAAUUGCUUGACAUUUCCUGGUCCUGGAGCAGCAACAGAGGUGGUGGGGAUGAGUCACACAGGAGGGAAGCUGCCGGCAGGAGAGUGGGGUGGAGGGAGGAGGGCUGGUCAGUGCUCAAGCUGGAGGGGUGGGGGCGAGAAGCGUUUGGGAGGCUUGCCUGGGGGUUCCUGAGCUCCCAGCUGCUCCUUUCAGUCCCCAGCGCUGUGCGUAACAGAGUUCUCCUCCCCAGGCAGGUUUACAGACAAGGAAGCUCUGGAGGAAAUGAGAGGAAACCAGGAGGGGAACCAGAAGCAGCUGUGAAAGCCCAGCUGUCUGCCUUCGUCCUUGUGACAUGAGACAGAGGCUCCUCCUCUCUGGGCCAAAAUGGUGCUCCUUGUGGCAGCUUCCAUGAACCCUGGCUAGACAGCUCUCACCCCAGAGCUCUGCUUUCCAGUUGAGAAUGCACCAGCACUGCUGAGUCCUCUCCCUCCCCUCCUCCCAGGCUGCCUCGUCAUAACACCAGCAGCAACAACCGAUAACUGAAGACCUGCCUGCCCCGUGUUGAGGCUUCAGGUGCAGCCUCUCUGCUAAACUUCCAAUAACUCCCAUGAGGUAGGCCCUGCCAUUAGCUCCAUUUUACAGAUGAGCAAACUGAGGCCUGGAGAAGUAAAAUCACUGGCCCAUGGUCCCAUAACCAGGACUCGAACCCAGAUCUGCUUCAGGGAAAGUGGAGGCAGGGAGUUUUGGAUAGAGUCUGCUGCUUUCCCCCGGCCCCCCUCCAAGCACUUUGCCUGUUACCCCGAGCAGUUACUGUUGCUGCUAUUGACUAUCUGGAGUCAUCUACCAGGAGGCUGUGACCUCUCCAAGGACAGGAACAGUGUCCUGUUCAAUCCAGGCUCAACAACAACAGGCUUCUGACAACACCAUGUUAAACGCUCUCAUCACUGCUGAAACCUCUUCCCACUACCCUCCCCCCCCCCCCGCCCCUGCCCCAGCCUCAAAGAUGAAGCCCAACCCCCACUCCGCAGGCCUUGCUCCUGCAGC
rnacentral:lncRNA from 1 species